ACAAGCGGUGGAGUAUGUGGUUUAAUUCGAUGCAACGCGAAGAACCUUACCUGGUCUUGACAUCCCGGAGACCCUUAGGAAACUAGGGGUGCUUCCAUUUGGAAGAAUCUGGAGACAGGUGCUGCAUGGCUGUCGUCAGCUCGUGUCGUGAGAUGUUGGGUUAAGUCCCGCAACGAGCGCAACCCUUGCCUUUAGUUGCCAGCAGUUCGGCUGGGCACUCUAAAGGGACUGCCGGUGUUAAACCGGAGGAAGGUGGGGAUGACGUCAAGUCCUCAUGGCCUUUAUGACCAGGGCUACACACGUACUACAAUGGCCGAUACAAAGGGCAGCGACACUGCGAGGUGAAGCCAAUCCUGUAAAAUCGGUCUCAGUCCGGAUUGGAGUCUGCAACUCGACUCCAUGAAGUUGGAAUCGCUAGUAAUCGUGGAUCAGCAUGCCACGGUGAAUACGUUCCCGGGCCUU
rnacentral:rRNA from 1 species